rnacentral:lncRNA from 1 species
CUAAAGCUAACUCUCUCUAUGACUCCCGCUACCACUCGAUUGAUGUGCCGCUGUUGCUUGUAUAGCUCUCUUAGGCGGCAUUUGCUCUUGAGUUUCUGUAGAAGAUUAUAAAAGAAGAAACAUACGAGGUCAGUGAUAAGCACUGAGUGGCUACUAUAGAUUUGCGUAGAAUUCAAUUAACACUAGUAAUGUGACCUUGUGGUCCGGUAGGCAUCAACCUAACAUCAGCCACCCCUAGCUAUGUGUAGAUAGCCUCUUGGUGGAUCAGACCAUGAAACCACCCUGAAAACUGUGUGAGUAGCAACUGUAGGCAUAGUCAACACGUUCUGCAUGUGCCCGAUUAUAAACUGGGGGAUUGCGCAAUCAUGGGUGGGUGUGACCAACACAUAUUGGGAGCUAAUCUAGCUAAACUUGAUUAUGUCCUAACAUGAACUGUGAAUCACACGCACAGUUCAAUUGCUAUAAGCUUAUGCUCAAAAUUAAACAAUUGCAUGUACAGUAGAUCACACGCUAUUGUACAACCUAAACACCCUGCUCUGUUUCACAACACAUGUACAUAGAUCACAUGUUACUGCACAAUUCUGAGACCCCGACUCUUACUCACAACAACUACAUAGUAGAUCACACGCUCCUGUAUAGUCCUAGGAGCCCGGCCUUGAAACAAAACACCUAUACAGUAUAUCACAUGCUACUAUACAGUGUUGAGAAUCCAAUCAUUGGAUUCCUGCCAACCUAGUUUCAGUUCUACGCUUAAAGUAGAAACGUAAUCCUAUUCCCCCUACAUCUGAUAUGAUUUCCUUGCAGAGUCUGACCUGAACUGCCUUCCCAAGCUUCAAGCCUCUUGUUCGGUAUGACAUGUAGAAAUCAAUAAUAGGAUUGAAAUCCCAAAAUCCCAAAUCCUAAUCUAUCAGGAUUUUCCUACAUAGGUUUCCAACCAAAGGAUUGAGAGAGGAGGAAGAAGAUUGGUUACCUUAUGAAGCUUCUUCAACGAUCAAUCAACCUCUGCUACUGACCUAGGAUUGAUCAAUUGUGCCUUCUUCACGUCCUGAAAGUGAUUGUCGUUCAUAAGAGAGAAUUUUAAGUCUUGGGUUUUGGUAAUUCUGAGUUACAGGUCGCGACUCUGCUUUUAUAAUAAGUCCACCACGCCCGUGUCCGACUUACCACCAUAUUUCUAACUACCUGACAACACCCCUGACAUACUGAUGGUCACAGCUAUGAUCUCCUAAUGGCCACGUCCAUGACUGACGGCUGACCACGACCAUGGUCUAUCUAACAACCACGCUCGUGACAUACUGACAAUCAUGCUUGUGACUCUCCAUUCAUCAAACGAUUUCUAGAAUUCUAGAAUUCAGAUUAAAACCAAAAUCAACUAGUAACACAAAAUUGGGGUGUCAUAUAAUCCUUCUACUAUGCAAUUAUUACUAAGGUUGCGAAACUUCUAGUACCAUCAUACAUCUAGGGUAUCAUAACUAUAAGGCAUAUGCUAAAGUCAUCCUAUUAGACCUAUCAUCCAUUUGUCGGAUUUAAGAUAACAUUAUGGGUCUCUAAUGGUCCAGUACUGUCAUAUGGGUUAUGUGUGGGGAAGGAUUAGCACCCCCACAACGCCAGACAAACCAGUACUAUGAAAACUAAUAAGUUUUUAUUAAGUGCGCUUACUUUUUAAUUGUGUGAUUCGCUUGUCCUCACUCUUGCGAAGACUUAAGCUACUAGUUUCGUUAUUUUUUAUAAACCAGUUUUAAAAAGGGAAAAUGAUAAUUUAUUUUAAUAAUUUUAAAGCAAAUGGAACAUUGGUUUAAAUUUGAAAAUAAAAUGAUAAAUUAUUUUAAAGUUGGAAAGAAAAUAAUAAAUUGGUUUAAACCUGGAAAGAAAGUAAUAGAUUGUUUCAAAUUUGGACUCGAGUCCUUCGACUGCCUACAUACCCAGAGUUUGGUUUGAAAAAGUUGAUUUGAAGUGCAACUAAUUAGUUGAGGUUAGUUUGGUAAAAUUUGAAAGUUUUAUGAGUUUUAUACCUCGAUAAUUUCACGUGACUUUAAUAGAAUAAAGCUCGACGUUACUAUUCUCGUUUUAUAUAUAUUUAAGAAUGAGUUUUGUGUUUUAUAAUUUUAUUAGUGAAAAACAAUUUUUUUGAAGAUAGUGGAUUCACGUACUUUCCCUUUUGAGAAAGCUUACGCUACUAUUCGAGGUUUUUCGCGGAAUUUCGCUCUUGCGAAAAUACGUUACUAGAUCAAUUAGUUUUAUGACAGAAGUAUAUAUAUUAUUUAAGGUGGACCCGAGCCUUUCUCGACUGCCUACGUACCCAAUAUUUUGGAAUCAAAGUCUGCGUAGUUCGAAAAAUAAGUUGAUGAGGAUUUCGUGGGAUAAAAUUGAAACUAACUUCCUAAUUUAAAAUCUCCACACGUUUUGCUUUUGAUUGAUAAGUAAAUUCCAUAAUUAAGCUAACUAAAUUUAAGUAAAUCAGGAAAAAAUAAAAAGUUUAUCGAGCUAAAUUACCUCUUAAUUACAGCCCACAUUACAUAUUAAUCCUCUUUUGUUAAUCACUUUGCUACAUUAAUUAAUUAAACUUGGAUGUGAGUUUAUUUGGGCUCCAGAUCGAGCUGGACUCGACCGAAUUUUGGACCGAAAUGAGAGAGGAUGAAAGGCCAAAAUCGAUGUGCGAAUUGACCGGUUCGACCAUUCAUUAUCCGACCCAAAAUUUGAAAAGAUAAACAUGCCCCUAGAUAUUUUGAACCCUAACCUCCUUCUCUCUACCCCUCAAAUCUUCUUCCUUCUCUCAACAAUUCUCCACCGGCGACAAUGCCGCCAUCGCUCCUCCUCCUCCUUUUCUUGUCCUCCGGCUCCAGUGCUCCGCCGCCUCUGUUUCUCUUUCCCCUCUUUUCUUUUCCUUCUUGUUCUUCUUGUUCACUCUAGCGGCGACAACGCUGCCACCGCCUCUCCUCCUUUUUCUUUUUUUUUCCUCCAUUUUUUCCCUCCCUUUUUCUACCCCUCUUAUUCUCUUCCUCCUCAUCUCCUCUGCUCACCCAUAGGGGCGGAGGCGACAGCGGCAUCACCUCACUCUUCUUUUCUCUUUCAACUCUUUUCCCUCUUUUUCUCUCAUUUCUUCUUCCUCUUUUUCAUCUUUUUUCUUCAUUUUUUCCUCCUCUCUGCUCCCUCCUGUCGAAGCAACAACGGCGACGGCGGAAUGCCACCACCUCUGAUCUCCAUUCUCUCGACGGUGGCACCAAAGAAGAGAAAAAGGAAAAUAAUCAGCACUGACUCCCUACUCUUCUACCCUUUCGAUUUUAACCAAAUCCGGGCUUUAGUGUCGUCGGGGAUGCUUCUGACGUGUCCUCCAAUUAUAUGCAAGUCUAGAUCUACAGAUUUAGGAUUUGAAUCUUGUUUCCGUGGCUCUUUCUCACUCCUAUUCUUUUGUUUUGUUUUUUUAUGGGGUUGGGAAUCGGCGGAAAGGGAGGUGAAGAAGCAGAAAGAAAGAAAAAGGGUCCGCCGACCGUAGGAGAGGCGGACAAGGGGAGGGUGGGCAGAUAAACGAAACCUUGCCUUAUUAAUUUUUAUUAAUCCAUGUUUAGGAGCUAACGAAAUAAUAAUGAUUUUUUUGUUCUCUCGAGAUCUAUGAAAAUAGGUAGAUCCGAUUUGCUCGAGAAAAUCAGGAGGAAAGGGAAAAACUGCCUCCGAAAGGUAAAUCACUCAGUCCCUAACUAAACCGGUAAUCUAAUUAUUAAAAUGAUUUUUUGUUUGGAAACGUUGAUCAUUUUACCAAUUUUAAGAAAAUUACAUCAACAACAUUUAACAAAAAGCCCAUGAUUUAGCUCGAUUUUUAUGAGUAGUCUUGUAGUUCUUGAGUUUUUGGUGCAAAGGGUGCAAAACGAGUGAUUAAAGGUCCUUUGUUAACGUAUUUUCAAGCACUUUUAUUUGCUUUAGGAUGCUUAUUUUACUGUUUAGUUCACUGUUUGUCAAGAUGAAUCAUUUAUCACUUAGUUGUAAAAAAUAAUAGAUUAGAAAUGGCUUAAACGACAUAGCAUAACAAGCACAUCCAUAUGUAUGAGCUCGAGAGUAUGAGUGAUAUGUGAAUGAUCGAAAACAGAGAUGUCUUUGAAUGAUAUACCUUUAAUACGAGGCUUUUCGUGUUUCAGGUGGCGGCGAUCCCUCCUCGUUUCCUAACUUCUUGGACAUCUAAAUUUCCUCCUUUGGCGGCUUCUACGUGGGUGACGAUAGAAGAGAUUUGUAAUUUUUACUGUUAGCGUUUUGUAAUAUUUAUUUUAGGACUUUUUGGGUUGAGGAUGUUUGUAUAUUUUUUUAGUGAUUUUGGGGGAAUGAUUGGGGAGUGUUGGUGGGAAUCGUCAUCUAUUCAUUAAAGUCUUUUUUUUUCGUUUUUGUGGUCCUGUUUGUCCAUUGAAAUGGAAUAAUGACUGUCAGGUCCCUUGUCUUCCAACCCAAAAUUAACACUGCACUUUGAUACAAAUAAGGAGGUGGCAUCUCCAUGAAAAACAACAGAAACGACCUUGAAAUUGGGCUUGAUAUCAAAUUUGGCCGAAAAAAUCCAUCGAAUGUCGCAAAGGUCAAUUUUCGCUGAAUUUUGAUAUAUCGGACUUGGGGUCCAAUCAUUUCGGCCAUUUCAGUUUAGAAUGAUCUAAAAUAAUUGACUUAGAGCAAUCAACAUUGUAAGAAGUACAAUUCGAAAAUACACCAACUAAUCGCCAAUAUCUCCAUAACUUGCAUUUUUAGUCAAUUUGCUAGCAAAAUCGUCACGCAAAGAUUGAUGGAUAGAUUGGCUCAGUGCUAAAUCUUCGCUAGGGAUGUUAGGGUUGGUUAACGAUACGAUAGUUGAACUACGGGUCGGUGGUGAAGAUGUACAAUCUCACCCUUGGAAGGACCAUGGCUGAAGUUCUACAUCAAGUCAGAAACGAUAGGGACACAGAGAAGCUUGCUAAUAUGGCAAGUUCAGCGUCGUCUCUUUGUUUAUCUACGUGACCGUCAUGGAGGGGUUUAUGACUGACAACGAAGGCUCGGACUUCCAAUUGGAACGUGGAUAUGGAAGUAGUGAUGGUGAGGAUGAAAAUUCGUUCGUGGCGGUAGAUGCUGGGAUAAUACACUUUGUAGAUGACUCUGACAACACUAGUGAGAGUGAAUUUUAUCAAGCAAUGGAGGAGCAUGGUGUCGGAAACUACAUCGGAAGUUGAGGGCCCAAAGAGAGUAAGACGGAGAAGUUAUUGAAGUGGUGAAUGAGUUUAGGGCUUUUCAACAAAGUGGCCCAGCCAGCAAUGAGGAUACGAAUAAUGGUGCACCCCAAGGUCAAGAUCAUCGAUCUACAAAUAGUGUUCCCCAUCUUGAAGAUAGUGGUGAUAGAAUACAAUCAGAACAUGACCUUGGCCACCAAACCUAGCAUGUUGCUAACUGCUGUAGGGAAGGACAGUAAUAAUCAGAUAUAUCCAAUUGCAUGGGCAUGGUUGAGGGUGAGAACAAAAACUCCUGGAAGUGGUUCAUCUCUAUCCGGAAAGAAGACCUACAUUUGGACGAUGGCAACGGUCAGUCCUUAAUUUCAGACCAACAAAAGGUAUGAACUGUGAACUAUCUUAACCUUAUUUGUGAAAUGUUUCUAGUAUUAGAACUGAAGUACCUUCCAGUUGUCAGGGUUUGGUGGAGCCACUACGUGAACACCUACAGAAAAUGUCCUAGAUACAUGUCAGCGAACUGGAAGAUUAAACACAAGUCAUUGUUGGCAAAGAAGUCAUUCUCGGACUGUGUAUACUCCUGCAACGUUCCAGAUUUCGAAUACCUUCUAGCCAAACUAAAAAGCAUAGAAGGUUCAGGUGAGGACCCUUUAUGUUACAUUGAUUUCAUGAAGGUUGAUUUCAUGAGGACCCUUUAGGGUUUUUGUGUCUAGGCUGCCUAAGUGUGAUUCCAUCGAGAGUAAUAUAUGUGAAACAUUCAACAGGUGUAUAAUGAAUGGAGAGGCUUGAGAAUCAUUAACAUGUUGGAAGAGAUUAUAAAUUACAUGAAGAGUAGGGUUGUUAGUAAGAAGAAGUUACUUGAAAAUACUAGGGAGAGUAGUGGGUGUCCUAGAAUUGCUGCCAAAAUAGAGAAGGGGAGACACUUGGCUAGGAAUUGCAUUGUUCACCAGACUCUGGCACUAGUCUGUGAGUCUGAACUUGGGGAUAAAAGGUACAUUGUAGAUCUUGACAAACACUCUUGUCCUUGUGGGCAUUUUGAGUUUAGCGGGAUCCAUUGUGUCCAUGUUAUUGCUGUUGGCAACAUUUUAAGGAAGGACAUCCACUAUUGGGCACAUAUCAAAUACAAUAUCAAUGAUUUCAAGAAGGCGUAUUGUUAUGGAGGGAUUCCAGCAAUGACUGAAAACCAUGCCUGGGAGGUUACAGUUGGAACUAUUACUCACCCUCUCCACAAAGACCAAUGCCCACCCGUCCCAAAAAAUGCAUGAAGGAAAGAAGCAUAGGGACUUGAAGUAAGACCAUCACGUGCCAGGGUUGGUGGCACUAUCAUCAGCCGUAAAGGAGUGAUCAUUCACUGCUCCAAGUGUCAGUCUACUAAGCAUCCAGAGCUAGCUGGUUCUCCCCGAAAUGCAUCGAGGCGCAUCAGUUAACUAGACAUUUAGGGGGGUAAAGCACUAUUUCGGUGCGGGCCGCGAGAGCGGUACCAAAUCGAGGUAAACUUUGAAUACUAGAUAGACCUCAAAAUAACAGAGGUCAAGGUCAGCUAGUGAGAUGAUGGAGUAUAAGAUUCAUCGUCGAGAGGGAAAUAGCCCAUAUCACCAGUGUGGGUCUCUGGUGGUCUGAAAUGCUAAAAUGAGUCUCUACUAGCAUAAUUAGCUAAGCCUUGGAGCUCUACUGGUCAAGGUCAUACCCAACAUUCAAGAUUGGGGAUCUAGCUAAAGAGGCACACAUUACUAGAUCAUCUAUUUAUUGCUUAUGCUUAUAGUAGUCUCUUCUUAUUCACUAGCUAUCUAAUCACAUCAUAUAAUUCUAGCUUAAUCAUAUAGACACAUAAUAUGAACAUCAAAAUAAUACUAUAAAUGACAUAAGUGUAAUUCUAUAAUUUAUAUUAAAACAUACCUCAUUUACCCCCCUUAAACCAACUCACCUCAUUUACGAGUCGACAUCUCCAAAAUAACAUCAAAAAUGAUUCCCGUUGGUGCCACAAAACCAAAACUUCUUACGAUAGCGUCGUUUGGAGUUCAAACGGUCGAGUUACGCCUCAUUUACUUGUUUUCAACUUCUUGAAACGUCCAAGGGGAAGAACUGACAUUUUGCUGCGCCGCUUAGAGAAUCUCAUAAUCCGCCCUCACACUUCAGACUAUUGCAGAACAGUCUCUAAACACUAGCCGUUUAGAGAUCAAUCAUCAAACUUCCGAAAAGUAUAGUUGGACAAUCAUCCCCAAAUUUAUCAAAAUCGCCAUCUUCACAAAUUGACUCUGGAAGUCAGAGAUCAUCGUCGGUGGGGCUCCGGCCUUCUGGAAUUCCAACGCCCCAUGUGAAUGGCCACUGAUUCCUUGUCUACUCGUCAAAAACUCACAAUGAGGCUCCUCUCGUUUGCUUCUCGAUCAUCAAUGUCAAAUCCUACCAUUGGACAACGAUCGCGUCAACCAUUGCCGAUGCUUAUUUCUCUUGCCUCCUAUCAAAAAAUUGUAGCAACAAAAAGGAUGAAAGGAAGCCAUCACAUCGUCCCUGACCGAGCGACCAAUUGACGCUUCCAACUACAUCUCUCGAUUUCUUAUUCCACGCAGCGGCGCCUCCCGCACUGUAACUCCUCUCUCAUUUGCUCAGACACCAUUAGGUUAAGGAAAAGGCUGUAAAU